AGGUGCGAUCAUACCAGCACAAAUGCACCGGAUCCCAUCAGAACUCCGCAGUGAAGUGAUCUUGGGUGAGAGUAGUACUAGGAUGGGUGACCUCCUAGGAAGUGCUCGUGUUGCACCUC
rfam:Lupinus angustifolius cultivar Tanjil chromosome LG15, whole genome shotgun sequence.